UCAAUCUUUAUCUCAAAACAUCAGUAACAUGACAACGUUAUGCUCUGAUGAAUAAGACAGAAAGCCUUACCAUUUGCACAUGCUGUAAGAAUUCAUUACCAAAGAGCCCUACACCAGGGGCCAUUCAAAUUGUAGCCAGCAAAAGAACUUGGGGGGCUCAUUUAAAUUGCAGAUUCCCAGGAUUCUCCUCAAGAGAUUCUCUAGCAGGUUUGGGUGGUGCAGGGAAUUAACAUUAGCUACCAUACCACAUGAUUCAGGGUCUAGAGAGAAUAUUUUAAGAAAUCUGAGACUUGUCUACAUCCUUGAUAUUUUAGGAAAUCUGAGACUUGUCUACACCCUUAGCUGUCUCUGCACAGCUGGUCCUCAACUCCCUAUCCCCAGGCUCAGUCCUCACUGCUACUUAUCCUAGGGACGGAUAACCAGCUGGUACGUCUUCAUAAUAUAAAUUUCAUCGAGAAGCAAGGGGCCAUCUGACCCUGUGUCAGCAGCUAGCAAGGAAGCUAAGAGGGGAAAUAAAAAUUAACAAUGUCUAUUUUCCAAAACAUUCACCUCCUAGACCACAUAAGCACUAAUCAAAGCAUGCACAAAAUUACAGCACAUCAUGUCUGGGGAUGGGAGUUAUAAUAGAUCCCAUUUCCAUAAUUCUAACAUGCUACAAUUUCCAUCUGAUGAAAUGUGGCUGUGAAAUUAAAAGUGUCAUUUGAUGUGAGAAAGUUCUAAACCCAGGCUAAAACCGGAGGAAGAUAUCUUUUAGAGUUUUGAAAGGAGGGUAGAAAUAUGACAGAAAUAUAAAACACUCUCUUGAAAUUUAUUAACAAUUUAGGUGAUAUAAUAAGAAAAGAAGCUAAAACUCUGCAUGAUGACUGAGAGGAAAAUGUCUUUGAAGAUGUUUCCUUUUGACAGCUCCUAGGACAGUGCCUGGCACACAAUAGGACCUCAGUAUGUAAUUAUUGGGUGAAUUUGCUGAGCACAAGCUGGGGGAGAAGACAGGAGGGGAAGAGGAAAGUGGUCUAAGAACCAGACUUCCUGAGAAGCCAGAAGAUUGGCCAUUUGAGGAGCUGAAGAGGGCAUGAUAGACUUUGAAGGGAAGGCAGAUGAAUCCGUUUCUCAGAGCUUCUGCAACAAAGUACUAUAAACUAGGUGGCUCAAAAUAACAGAAAUGUUCUUCCUUUUCUAGAGGCUAUAAGUCCAAAAUAAUGGUGCUGGGAGGGCCAUGCUCCCUCUGAAACCUAUAGGAGAAUCCUUUCUUGCUCUUUUGUUGCUUCCGGUGGUUUGCGGGUCACAUUUGACAUUGCCUGGCCCUCAGCUGUGUGACUCCCAGCUCUUUCUUUAUCUUCCUGUGCCAUUCUCCCCGCGCACCUCUGUUUUCAGUUGGUACCUUCUUGUAAACACACUAGUUUUUGGAUGACUGUUCCAGUGUGACUUCUACUCCAGUAUGACCUGAUCUUAACUAAUUACACCUACAACAACUGAAUUUCCCUAAGGUCACAUUCUAAGUUACCAGGGGUUACAACUUUAACAUAUCUCUUUUGGGGCAACACAAUUAAAUUCAUAACUGUGGGCAUUUAAAAAUCAAUAUGAGACACCCGUUAGGAUGGCUGUUGUUUAUAAAACAAAAGACAGAAAGUGAUGGUGAGGAUGUGAAGAAAUUGGAAUCUUUGUACACUGUAGAUGGGCAUGUAAAACAGUGGCACCUCUGGAAAACAGGAUGGCAAUGUCUCAAAACAUUCAAUGUAGAAUUUACCCUCAGAUUCACUAAUUCCACUUUGGGGGAUAGGUAUCCAAAGCAGUGAAAGCAAGGACUCUAGCACCUAUUUGCACACCUGUGUUCAUAGUAGCAUUAUUCCCAAUAGUCUAAAGGUGGGACAACCCAAGCAUUUACCGAUACAUGAAGGGAGACGCAAAAUGUGACACAUUCAUACUAUAUUAUUCAGCCUUAAAAAAGAACAUUCUCACAUGUGAAUAGUGAUUAGAAGGAACCCAUGAAAGUGACCUUAAAAUAUAAAGAAUAUAUAUUUACAUGGGAGAACAAGUUACCUAAAAAUUUCAGAGGUCUCUCCCCCAUAUCCA
rnacentral:lncRNA from 1 species